GUGCACCUUAGGAUCCAGCCUUUAAUUAUAUCUUUCCCAUGUUUACAUGAACUUUAGUUUGCUUUUCAAAAGCCUCAUGGAACAAUUCCUGCAGCUGACCUGUGUGUAGUGGUGAAUUUCUCCAUAAAGGCAGUCUGAACUGGAAAUGAAGAAUAUUAAAUUGAAAUGCUUACUGCUGGAGAGUCUUGUAGAGAAGAAACCUAAAUUCUGACCUCAAAGAAGUGAGUGAGGAAUGGAGGGCGAAGUUAAACUACAAUCAACAUUUCCUUGCAGAGUUCCAGCACCUGCUUACAGAUCACAUCAGGUUUAAUGCCAGCUCUGACCAAAACAAAGAAUUCUGAAAAUAUUAUCUUCAGAUUUUACAUUUGUCUUCCUGUUUGAAGAGAAGCCAGGAAUGCCAGAGUCCUUCCUUGCAGCAGAAGGACUUGCACAAAGGCUAAUUUAACUAGCUUGCUAAACUUUCGGCUAAGGUCAUUGUGCCACUUCCUGUAUCCUGUUUUCUAGUCCCAUUCAAGCUUCCUAUCAAUUGUUGACAAGAAGUUUGUUGAUGAACAUACCCUGAGAGGACCAUAAACCAAUUAGUGGAGCAAAUAAAAAGGUU